rnacentral:rRNA from 1 species
CCCUUAGAUGUUCUGGGCCGCACGCGCGCUACACUGUUCGACGCAGCGAGUCUUAACCUUGACCGAAAGGUUUGGGUAAUCUUCAGCAAAGUCGAACGUGAUGGGGAUCGAUCAUUGCAAUUAUUGAUCGUGAACGAGGAAUUCCUAGCAAGUGCAAGUCAUCAGCUUGCGCUGAUUACGUCCCUGCCCUUUGUACACACCGCCCGUCGCUACUACCGAUUGAAUGGUUUAGUGAGAUCUCUGGAUUGACGCUGGCUAGGGGGCGACCCUUGGCCAGACUGUUGAGAAACUGCUCAAACUUGAUCAUUUAGAGGAAGUAAAAGUCGUAACA